AGUGAGGGCACAACUAUGGAGACAUAGCUAAUUCCUCAUACGUCCCGAUAAAUGAAAAUAAUCGGGAGAAAGAUUUAUCGCUCAAGGAGGGGGGUGCGGCCUAUCAGGUAGUUGGUGAGGUAAUGGCUCACCAAGCCUAUGACGGGUAGCCGGUCUGAGAGGAUGUCCGGCCGCAAUGGAACUGAGAACGGUCCAUACUCCUACGGGAGGCAGCAGUGGGGAAUAUUGGACAAUGGGCGAAAGCCUGAUCCAGCGAUUCUGCGUGAAGGAUGAAGCCUCGUGGGGUGUAAACUUCUUUUCUGGGAGAAGACGAAUGACGGUAUCUCAGGAAUAAGAGACGGCUAACUACGUG
rnacentral:rRNA from 1 species